rnacentral:lncRNA from 1 species
UGUGAUCUGGACGAACGAAGCCGUUGAUUGGUUAGCGCAUCAUCAGAUGAUGAUGCUGUCUCUGUAUUUCUUCUUGCUCCAUGAAUUAAUCCUGAUGAAUGCUCCUUGUUAUGCAAAAGCUGACAAGGACACUAGCUAGAGCGCACUGCCGCUCCUCUUCUUGCAUGCAACAUAAUCUGAAAUUCAUUCAGUUCCACUGUGUGUAAACACUAUAGUGUACAACUAUCAACUUGUUUCACUAUUCAGUUUGUCACCCAUUCAGCUUACUUACUGGGGCAUCUUUCUUGUAAGAGUUUACUUGAUAGUAAAAUAUGUUAGAAGAAUCUACCAUGUCUCUGGAAUGGAUCAUCAAUCACUCUUUAUACACUUGCAACUCAGUUUCUUUCAUAUAAGUUCUGCUGCCUUUCUUUAGGUUGAGCUACUGCCCUGUUAAUUGCUUUAACAAACAUUAUCAUUUGCCAUAUUGCUUUAACAAACAUUAUCAUUUUUUUCGUUUCUCAAAUACAAAAUAGCUUGCUCCUUCUAGUUGUGGCAUCCCCACUGUUAAUCUUUAUGAUGUUGUUCCUCACUAAUAUAAUAUUUACUGAUUAUUGGUAGUCACUAGUAUUCACUGAUAACUAUGCCUCAUUUUGAUUGUUCUAUUGUUAUUUAUGCCAAAAGGUUAACAUGUUUGAAUAUAUUUUGUUCCUGACCAUUUUGUUUUAUAACAUGCAGAUGGUGGCCUCUAUUCAUGUUUCGUCGUGAGCUCCAGGAUGAAGAAGUUGGAAGAAGCAAUGCAUGCUGGAUCUAGGCAUGCAUGCAUGCUCUAGUAUCCCUGCUUCUGAACCUAGCUAGGGAGGUGCAGGACUUUGUUGUAACGUUGAUUUUUCUGGGAAUUUUGUUGUACUGGUGAUUUUGCUGAGAGUUUGGUGUAUAUUUACUUGCCACUAUGUUUACUUGAUAUUAAUUUCUGGAUUGGAAAAUAUAUUGGCAUUGAAUCUGGGCUGAAUGUAUAUCUAUGAUGUAAAUAUUAUUUGACUUGAAGAGGCACAACCCAAAUCAAGAAGUGGAU